UGUCUGUGUGUGUGUGUGUGUGUGUGUGUGUCACAGAGAAAGAGAUGAUGGGGCACAGCAUGUGUUAUCAUUUGGUGUACUACGCUGUGGUGGGGGAAAACUGCUAAAAGACAAUUUUAAAAGGAUGUUCUUUGAUGACAGCCAAGGCUGAGUGAUAUAAACCGGGUUGCCAAGUUUAAAACUUCAAAAGUAAGAUGUGCCGGUGAAAUCACUGUGUCAGAAUGAAACAAGCAAGCAAAUGCAACCAGUAUAACAACAGCAGUGGAUUAAGGGAUAAGGCCCAGGCACCAAGAGAAGGCAAAACUGCUAAGCCAUUUAUAUUAAUAAAAGUUUCAAAAAGAAAUGGAUGGCACAUUCAUAUCAGGAUAGUUUAACGGAGAAAAUACAUAUUUAAGUAUGGACAGAAUGCUGGCAAUUCAUAAGAAUGGUACAACACCCACGGCAGAGAUCACAGAGAAGUUACCACUCCUCGAUGUGAAAAAGUGAAAUAGUUAUUAGAACGUGCAAGGAGAAAGUCUUGUGGAGAGGCUCACAUUUAAAGAAGCUACAACUAACUUUAAGGAUCGCAGCCCAACUAAAAUAUCCAUGCAAGGAGAUAAUCAGGAGGAUCUGUACCUGACUUUAAACUCCGUUAUACCUUUAAUCUCCUGGGGCUCACAGACAUUCCUUUAGUCUAAACAGAGCAAAUACCACUGGUAUAAAGCAGGGUGGGGAAAGGUGGAGAGCAACUCUGACUGGGAAAAUGGAAAAAUACAGCAAAGCAGAUUUCACCACUCAACAGACACAUUAAAGAGCCAGGGAAGCAUCUGCCAGUGGGUUAACGGUGUCCCCAAGUGUCCAGGCUACAGAACAUUGCUUUCAUGAAUAAGAAUUUCAAUGUGAUAAUGGUGCUUUUCUAGAAAUUAAAACUAAAGAACCUGUU